UAACGUGCUGGCCCAAGCCCGGCCCGGGCCCACAGUCAAAAGUCCGAGCCCAUCCCAGGCCUGGGCUUUCGGCUCAGCAAAGUCUGCGGAUCUGGUUAUGCUUCCUGUACGAGACAGAUCACGAAGCGGUUGCUGACUGACCAGUUGGGGCGAAAAUUUUCGUGAGAAGGACGUAAGAGAAAGUUGACAUUCAGGAACCUUCACCUUGCUGAGUGCAUCAUAAAUGCAGUGCAGAGCUGCCAUAAAUGUGAAGACUUCAAGGUAGGAACCAUGGUCACGGAUUAACUUCGCCACGCACCUGCCUGACAUCAGUCAUCUCAAAUGGUAAGCUGGUCUUAUUAAGCUGAUGUUAGCACAAAAAUCAAACUUUUCUAGAACAGUAAGUAUGGUGUGCAAUUUCUUCAAAGCAUA